GACGAACGCUGGCGGCGUGCCUAAUACAUGCAAGUAGAACGCUGAAGCUUGGUGCUUGCCCCGAGCGGAUGAGUUGCGAACGGGUGAGUAACGCGUAGGUAACCUGCCUGGUAGCGGGGGAUAACUAUUGGAAACGAUAGCUAAUACCGCAUAACAGUAGAUAUCGCAUGAUAGCUACUUGAAAGGUGCAAAUGCACCACUACCAGAUGGACCUGCGUUGUAUUAGCUAGUUGGUGAGGUAACGGCUCACCAAGGCAACGAUACAUAGCCGACCUGAGAGGGUGAUCGGCCACACUGGGACUGAGACACGGCCCAGACUCCUACGGGAGGCAGCAGUAGGGAAUCUUCGGCAAUGGACGGAAGUCUGACCGAGCAACGCCGCGUGAGCGAAGAAGGUUUUCGGAUCGUAAAGCUCUGUUGUAAGAGAAGAACGAGUGUGAGAGUGGAAAGUUCACACUGUGACGGUAUCUUACCAGAAAGGGACGGCUAACUACGUG
rnacentral:rRNA from 1 species